UACAGAGGGUGCAAGCGUUAAUCGGAAUUACUGGGCGUAAAGCGUGCGUAGACGGUUGCGUAAGUCAGAUGUGAAAGCCCCGGGCUCAACCUGGGAAUUGCAUUUGAGACUGCGUAGCUAGGGUGCGGAAGAGGGAAGCGGAAUUUCCGGUGUAGCGGUGAAAUGCGUAGAUAUCAGGAGGAACACCGGUGGCGAAGGCGGCUACCUGGACAGAAACUGACGCUGAGGCGCGAAAGCUAGGGGAGCAAACAGG
rnacentral:rRNA from 1 species